CCUACGGGAGGCAGCAGUGGGGAAUAUUGGACAAUGGGGGGAACCCUGAUCCAGCCAUGCCGCGUGUGUGAAGAAGGCCCUCGGGUUGUAAAGCACUUUCAGUGAGGAAGAACGCCUGGUGGUUAAUACCCAUCAGGAAAGACAUCACUCACAGAAGAAGCACCGGCUAACUCCGUGCCAGCAGCCGCGGUAAUACGGAGGGUGCGAGCGUUAAUCGGAAUUACUGGGCGUAAAGCGAGCGUAGGUGGCUUGAUAAGCCGGUUGUGAAAGCCCCGGGCUCAACCUGGGAACGGCAUCCGGAACUGUCAAGCUAGAGUGCAGGAGAGGAAGGUAGAAUUCCCGGUGUAGCGGUGAAAUGCGUAGAGAUCGGGAGGAAUACCAGUGGCGAAGGCGGCCUUCUGGACUGACACUGACACUGAGGUGCGAAAGCGUGGGUAGCAAACAGGAUUAGAUACCCGUGUAGUC
rnacentral:rRNA from 1 species